AAAUUUUCUUCAUGUGCAGUAUCAAAUGCAACAAGAUAUUUUGGUACCUGCUCUCCUCUGUGCAACCUACCUGCUUCUCUGGCUGCUGCCUUUGCCUUCUGCUUCAAACUGCCUUUGCCAACAAACCUCCCAUUGUUCUCCCUGGAAGACUGCAAAAUACAGAGUCACAGCCACAACUGACAAUGUAAAACAGAGAAAGCAGCUGGUGAGAUGGAGGAACACAUUGAUCUUCAGAACAAUCUACAGCCAUCUGACUGGGCUUGAAUGUUGGAGAAAUAACUCAUCAUGAAAGAGAAAGUGUAUGUGACAGAAAGUAAGACAUAUCAGCAUAUUCUGCAUUAUUUGUGAAAUAAUUUUACAAGUUACCAUAGGAAUAUAGCACACACAGAAAUGAAACCCACAAGGAAUGAGGAAAAAUGUGAUAAAGCAUCAGGGUCUGAAGGAAUCUGAGGUCUUUCUUCUGGAAGAAAGUUUUAAUGGUGGAGGUCCAUGGACUGAUGUACCUCAAGUCUCAACCUGUGGCUGGAUGCAUCAAAGGACGAAUUUAAAGGAGAAUGUGUUAGCAGUGGAAGCAUAGGAAUCUCUUUGUCAUUCCCUGAAACAUGUCCCAGCUUGAGUUGUGUAGCUUUGCAGCAGAAUUCAAACAUAAGUUGAUUCUAAAAUAUUUUAUUUUCUUCUUUUUUAUAUCUAUUUUUUAUCUCUUUAUAACUUCUUGCCCUGUCUCUGCAUAAAAUGUUUACACUGAUCUCAGCCCCUAGACUGUUGAACUCCAAAUGUAUUCUUGAUGAGUCCUGUUUUCCUUUACUGUCACUCUUCCUCUGCAGUAGGACUUUAUUUUAGUUUAUAACAAAAAAUUAUGUAUAGAAAUGAGUGUCCCCAGUUUUUCUGCUGCUUUUAACAAUUAAAUUUUUACACCACAUUUUGUUGCUUUGUGAUCAUAAGGCUGUCAUGCGGUGACGUCUCUGCAUUCCUUACGGAAUUUGGUCUACAAGUCACCCCCUGUUCUGGAAGCCUACCUGUAAAAGGAGUUUUGGUUGUGUUAAGAGAGGGGGUUUUGUUCUUCACAGGAACUUGAUCCUCAGUGACAGCAUAAUUUCCAUGUCUGUGCUGCAUUGGUCUAUUUGCACUGGAAUCUAAAAGAAUGACUCAAAUGUUUAAAAUGUUGCAUGGUUAUUGGUUUGGGUCCUAAGGCUUUUACAUUUUUAAAUGCAUGACUACCAAGAACCAGGCUGAGAGAAAUAUUGCUCAGCGCAGAGGGGAAGCAUUGAAGAGGAACAGGAGCCACUUUGUGAUCCUAGUGAUGUUUAUACCCUUUAUAUUCCAGAUGUUAUGAGGUAUGGAAAUAGUGUUUCUCUGUCAGUGAGUGACACCUCUGUUCCUCUGAGCUGAGGAGAUUCUGCUUGGAAAAACUCUGAAGCGUGGACAGUUCAGGACCCUACCUAUGGAAAUGGAUGCCUUUGUAAAAUGUCUUGUAUGUACACUAUUUGGGGAUUUGGUUUUACCUUAUUUACUGUUAGAAAUGGUUUAGUGUUUGGGGAUUUGAUAAUCCAAUUGAAAACUGCACCUUUUGACUUAUUUGAAUUUGUGUUAGUUUUUUUCUCAUGCUUUAUAAAUGGUUUUAUUGAUUGGGGGUGGCAGGUUUAGCUGUACCUUAAAUUUGAAAAUUAUGCAGACUAAAUCAAAUCAAAAUAAUUUACCAAUUCUUUUUCAUUUGUCUGAGUGUAAGCAGUAUAAUGUUUGCCUCAUGGAGUGAUAGGUCUCUCACAACUGCCAUAGCACAUAGACUUUUUGGUAACUAUGAAUGGUGGUAAAGUGAAGUAAACUUCAGUAUACUGUUUAGCGUGGACACAAUCUUUCAGAAUUAAUGAUUUCUGAAACUGGAAUGAUGAGGACUGUGGAAAUUUCUGUUGUUUAACUCCAGCUGGCAACUCAGCCUCACAUAGCCACCUGCUCACUCUGUCCUCAUUGGUUUAAAAAGAGAAUUAGAAUAAUAAAUAUCAGUAAACUCCUGGGCUGAGGUAAAAA
rnacentral:lncRNA from 1 species